rnacentral:lncRNA from 1 species
CUCUGGGCAAUAUGAGGCAUGCUUUUUUGUUUGGUGUCGCACUGGGCCUCAUCUUGAAUAGUUUUAAUUGACCUCUGUGCAAAAAUGUGUAAAAUGGCUAAACAACAUUUGGUCAAAAUGUUUUGCUACUAAUCACAAACUAACAAUUAUUUUAUAAAAAAAUUAUUAUUGUAGAUAGUAUGAUACAGUAAAAUGCAUGGCUUGUACCAAUGAGGGUAGGAUUUUAUAUCUCUCAAAUAUAUUUUAAAUUGAAGUUACAUGCCUUUCAGAGGAAAGAGAUAUUAACUUUAAAUUUUUGAAUAGAGUUUCUGUUCUCAUAUUUAAAAAAAUAUAUGAAGUUACAAUAGAUUUGCCAUAGAAAAUCAGAUGAUCCUGUUUGUUUCUGGUUAAAGCCUACACUGUCUGUUUUAACAUAU